ACCGAGACUAGAGUCACAUCUAGAUGUUACCAGUUAUCGUGGUGUGCUAUAGUCCUCGAAGAGUAACAGCUGACCUUUAUUCACUGGCUGUCCUCCCCAUAGUACAGUCAGCCACCAGGUUAGCAACAGAA
ensembl:snoRNA